CCCAACCGGAAAAAAAAAACGGCCAACACACACGAACCCCCACACCCGGAAACGAGAGCAGCGUACCGGAAUUAUGGGCGUAAGCGUCGCAGUGCUGCUCAAGUCUGCUGUCAAAGACGAAGCUCAACUUCCGAAAGGCAGUGGAAACUGAGAAGCUAGAGUCCGGUAAGGGGUAGAGGCAAUUCCCCAGUGUAAGCGGUGAAAUGCGUAGAGAUUGGGAAGAACAUCGGUGGCGAAAGCGCUCUACUGGGCCGAGACUGACUACAUUCAGGGACGAAAGCUAGGGUAGCUC
rnacentral:rRNA from 1 species